rnacentral:rRNA from 1 species
UUAAUUGAAGAGUUUGAUCAUGGCUCAGAUUGAACGCUGGCGGCAGGCCUAACACAUGCAAGUCGAGCGGCAGCACAGAGGAACUUGUUCCUUGGGUGGCGAGCGGCGGACGGGUGAGUAAUGCCUGGGAAAUUGCCCGGUAGAGGGGGAUAACCAUUGGAAACGAUGGCUAAUACCGCAUAAC